GGGCUGUGGUUCCCCAUGAGGUUUCAGGUUCUUUCAUCUUUGUGAUUCAACAUUUAUAUGAAACAGUUAGGGGCUAUCUUCAAGGAAUCUGGAGCACAGUGUUCAUAUGUAUACUGAUGACCUGCAUCUCUGUCUCGGCUUUCCGUAGGAAUUAGGAGAACCAGUGAAGGUGUUGAACUGCUGUCUGAAGGUUGUGUUGGACAGGAUGGUGGCUGAAUCCUUAUAAUUCCAAAGUGCUUUGGGUGAGUGGAUUCUGUCUCUCAAAGGAUUGGGAUCCCUUCUGGGAGGGAUUGGACUCACUGUGAAGGAAGAAGUUUGUAGUCUGGAACUACCUUGAGAUUCCAACUCAUCACUAGGGUCUCAAGUGGCUUCUGUGGCUGGUCUGCUUAUGCCCUUUUAGGUUGAUGCACUAGGUGCAUCUAUGCCUAGAUGUAUACCUGCUGCACCUAGCAUCAUGCAAACUCCAGAAGAUUAUAAUGUUCAUUUUAAGCCCAAGCAAUGCUGUAAGAAGCUUAGCAUUAUAUCAGAUUCCACUAACCGGAGAUCUGCCUCUGGGACGUCACAUAAAAGAAUGUCUGACAACAGUAUCUGAUAGCCAUUGGUCCUUAAUGCGAGAUGUCUUCUGUGCAUGUUGCUCUUUUUCGUAUUGUGGCUCAUAUGUUUAUUUAGUGUUAGACCUUACAGUGUUCCUUAAAGGACAUUGCUUACUCAUUGGUGGCUUACAAAUAAACAAUAUAUAGAAAGGCAAUUUUCAUAUCAUAUACAAUAUAAUAUCACAUACAAAGCAAAUUGUGAUUAACAUCAGCUGGGCAACAAGGAGGAUCUCAAUAAUAAUAAUAAUAAUAAUAAUAAUAAUAAUAAUAAUAAUAUUUAUAUCCCGCCCGCCCCAGCUGAAGCCGGGCUCAGAGAGGCUAACAACAGUAAAAUGAUAAAACAUUCUAAAAUCUAAACUAACAUGCUAGCGUGUUCCCACAAGUAAAGCCAAUUGUUCAAAUAGAGAUUCUCUCCAUUAAAAUACUAUCCAUCUAUAUAUGAAUUUCCUCUCUAUAAACCCUACUUUUCUCUCCGAGGAAACAUCACAUUUAAUCAGGUGCUAAGUGAAAAAAGCCUCCUUGUUUUCAUUGCAUCCCAUUUUAUUUGGAUAACCAUGAAUGUUGGCAUUUGAGAAAUUUAUUUCCUCACCUGAGUGAAGUCCCUGUGCCAUUUAAUUUGUCCAUCAUUAAUGGUGAACUCUUUGCCUGCAGGGGCCUGAGGAUCCAGCCUUCCCACUUUGACCCUGAUGUAGGAUCUAUUUGGGAAAGUGAUCAAAUUUGUAAUAUCAUAACCAGCUGCUAAUUCUCCACGUUCAUUUAAUGUAAUUUCAUCACCAACAGAGUUGUUGAAUGAGAUCUUCUGUAGGAAUGAGUGGAGCUAGGUGGAAAGAGAACCAAAAGGACUAUAAAGUAUUAUAACAUUCUGAUUAAGAUUGCUGAACAGCUUUCCUAGAUGCAUUCAAGAUCUUUAUAACGAAGGGUUAUAAAGUUUUAAUUCAAAGUAUAGUUUAUGAAAGUGUAGAAUUGGGAGGACCAUUCUUGUUUUCUGCAAAUGAAGGAAUUUUAUACCAUACAUGACACAGUCAGAUUGAUAAUUUUUGAAUACAUUCGAAAGAAAGGUUACAUAUUGUCAUAUUAAAAGACGUCUAUUAUGCCUUUUUUCCAUCUCACUUUUUAAUCAGUAUUAUGUUAUUAUAUGUUCUUGGAUAAUUGGGACCAAUCAAUCACAUAUUAAAAUAUGUGCAAUUGUUUCUCCAUGCAGAUACUCUAACUCUAAGAGGAACGUGUUCUAGGAGAGGGGAGAUGACAACUGAGGGUUGUUGUUUUUUAAGUUAACAUUAUGACAAACCCCCUCUUUAAUUUAUGUUCUGCUAUAAGAAGCAUAGCCUGCAGUGCAGUAGAAAUCUUCAUUGUUGGUUUCUUUAACAGGAUACCUUUUAUUUGUUUUAUUUAUAACUAAAUACCAACUCACAUAAAAUAUCAAGGCAGGGCACAAUAGUGAACACUUUGCAAACCAAACUUUUUGUAACUGCAAACAUUACCUUCCAAGGCUCUAUAUUCUGAGGAGAUCGUCUGCCUGCAGCCUCCAUUCUUCUGCUGUUGGAUCCAGCCAAGUGCCUAUGUAAGGCAUGUGCCAAAGCAGAGACAGCAUUAUAGAUACUGUAGCUGUGGCUGGUCAUGCUCAUUUCAAAAAAUGGCGCAGGAAGGCUCUCCAACAUUUCCUCUCCGGUACAAGGCUUAGCUAUCUUUGUUGACUUUGUGGAGUGUGCAAGUGAACAAUCAAAUGUUUGUUCCCAGAAACCUGAGAUAAAAUCAUCUCCCUCUUCCCAGGAAGGAUUUACAUGUUGCAGAAAAUCUGGGAAGUCACGAACUUCCUUGGAAUGAAUUGCAAAAGAGAUAGCACCAUGCAACAUUUGUAUAUUAACAUCAAUAACUUUCUGAAGUUCAUAUAAAAUGAAAUCAAUCUGAGCUGUGGUAAUCCAUACUUUUCCUUCACGUAAGUUCUUUUUAGACUGGGAAAAUAUGAACUCAGAUAACUUCAUCAGCUUUAGAGCAGUUGACAACCAUGUAAUAGAUGCACUUUCUCCAUAUACAACAACUGCAUUUGCUUUGCUUGUUAUGAAAGCUGGGGACAAAAUCCUUGUCUCUCUCAGCAUAUCAGUUAUCUUACCAGUGACAUGCACAUGGUAUUCAGCUCUUUCUGUGAAUGCUGAACAGAUCCCAUUUUUGAAAAACAUUGGCUCAAUGGUAUUCAAGAAACGUUCUCCAGCUUCAUUAGCUGGAAUGAUGAGCCCAACCCAUUUCCAUCCAAAAUGCAGAAGCAACUGGAUAAUUCCUUGAUACUGAAGAGCUUCAUUAGGAGCCAUGUGGUAAAAAGAAGGGAAUUUAAUUUGAUCAUUUGUGGCUGCUUCAAAUGAACCAUAUGAAAUCUGAAAAAGAAAAAAGAAAACCAUAAGGAAUUGAUGGAAGUAUUCAUAACAAACCUAUUUAUCCCACACAUUUCAAAUUUACUGUUUUUUUGGGGGUGGGGUGGGGAACCCACUCCCUCUUACAUAAAAAAUACACAAGCAAUCUUGCUCAAUUUCCUAUUUCAUAUGGGGAGCAUUUCUAGUUAACAUGUCCUGAUCUUAUAUGAUCCACUGAUAAUUCCCCCCCAGGAUCUUAUAUGAUUCCAUCUGGAUAUCCCAUUUACCAACCUGGCACCUUUGAAUUAAUCUUCCCUUAUAUGCAUUAUAUGCAUUGAUCACAUAUGCUUAGUAACCUACCCCUCUCAUGCACAUUGUUAGAGACCCCCAUGCUAUAACAACAACAAACCCACACAUUUAAGUCCCUUUCAAUUGUCCUUGUUAUGCCACUCCAUAUUUAUGAAUUAAUAGACUCCUACUGCAAAGAGAGCUGAAGAGUGAAUUAUAGUGUGAAAUCUCAAUUUUCUCUUACCCAGAAUAUUCCUACCUGUGGAAUUUUGUAAAGACCCAAGAUGUCUGCCAUGCAUAAGGUGACCUCAGAGCUCAGUCCCCCAAUGACUCCUAUUACAUUUUCCUGGGAGCCACAUUUGUAGUUGGGGACAAAGAUAUAUGAGUUAAACAGCAGAUCCAGAGUGGUGCGGUAGGUCAUCUUAGAUUGAUAGUAGCUGUCAUAGAUGUGGAACCCAAGAGUGACAUUGGGCAAGACCUUGGGAUUCUCAUUGAUCUCAUCAACUGCAAACACCAGGGCAAGGAUGUGCUGGUAGAACUUUGAUAACACGCUGUGAAUAAAGUCGCAUUAUUAUGUGGGGAAAGUAAAUAGUGUACAAAAUCUACAUCUGAGAGAGAGAACUUUCAGAGGAAAGAUGGGUCUUGUUUUGUUCUGUUAGAAUAUUUGAAUGACUCUUUAGCUCAAAUUUUUUUUAUUUUAUUUCUCAAAGACAUAGAUUGUGAAUAUACAGAAUGGGUCAGGAAUUUUCUUGACUUUCACUUCAUCUAGAAAUAACUGCUGUGUCAUAUGACUAUGCUACAGUUUUUGAAAUUAUUGCUAUAGCCCUUUGGCUGUAGCUUUCUCUGGAAAUGCAAACUUGCAUUAAAUGAUAAUAAAGCUGACGGCAGUUGCAAUUUUCAAUGCAAAUCAUCAGGUUUUCAAGAGAAUAAAGAUACAGCAAUGGAGAGUUUCACAUGUAUUUCUACCAAGUAUGCCUACUUGUGAGCUAGCGAGUGUACUCUCUGCUUCUUCUUCCCCUCAGAAUGUGGGAUGUUAGCAUCCAAAAUGCAUAUGUAAAAGGUUAAUUUCAAGAGCUGUAGAACUCUGUGAGGCCAUACAAGUUGUGGAAGUUAUGACAGUUGACAGUUAUGGCAGUUAACUGAACAGUCUUAACAGUUGGAGCAGCAUUGAUGAACUGUUGUGCUGCUCUCUGCCUCAGAGAUGACCAGAACUGUACAGAAUAUUCCAUAAUUAGUAUAAUAGCAUUAUGAUGUGUACAGUAUUCCUUUUUAGAUGAGGUGACCGGAACACAGUAUUCCAAGUGUAGUCGCACCAUAGAUUUUUGCUUUUUCUGAACCUUUCCCAGAUGAACAAUAUAUCUGUUUAGAUGAGGUUACCAGGACUGUACACACUAUUCCAUAAUUAGUAUGAUAGCAUUAUGAUUUGGGUGGUUUUGGUUUCAGUCCCUUAAGGCUUAAGUGAGGAUUUCUAGAAUGGAAUUUGUCAUUUCUACAGUUUCUAUACACUGACUCAUUAUUUUCAAUGAGCUAUCCAUUACUGUCCCAGUAACUCAUUUGUGGCCAAUCACCCCCAGUUUAAACACCAUAGACUUAUAAGUGAAUGAAGGACUCCCCCCCCCCCCCAAAAAAAACAUAGAUCACUUUACAGAUUGAAUUACAUUCAUCAUUUAACUGUCUAUACAUCCAGUUUGGCAAAAUAUGUUUGGAGCUCUUCACAAUUCAUUUUUGUUUUAGGCGCUCUGAAAAUUUUUGUCACGUCAGCAAAUUUGGCUGCUUUAUUUCUUAGGUUUUUAUGCCGCCCUGUUCUAUUCUUACUCAAUUUUCUCUUUGCAGAAUUGGAUCACUAAAUCUUAAGGAUUCCUAAUGUCUAACUGACAGUGUAGACAUAACCUGUAUGCACAGAUAUUUGUUAUAUCAUCCAUCAAAUCAAUACAGUUCUAAAACUUUUCAUUCAAAGCAAAGUAUAUUUCAGUCAAAUAUAAAAAUGUAAAGAAUGAAAAAAAUAAUAUUAAGGACUAUUUACUUACAUUGGUCUGUCAAUCAAGACUUCAGAGGGGUGUUUAUUGAAUAAAACAGUGGGGAAAAGGUAGCGGAUAUGAGACGCUAUGCCACCAAUGACAGGGUCACCUGGCUCAUACCACUCAUGUGGAAUAGGUACAGGAUUAGUUGUGGUAAAAUUAGCACUAUGCACUUGGCACACCAUGUUGGGCGAGAGCAAGAGAAGCAGCAGCAGCAAGGUUCUACACAUGGACUCUUCUUUGCCUCUCUACAAUAUCAUCAUCAUUAUCAUCAUCAGCCUGAUUUGAACAGCAUGGAUUUGGAGGCAGCUGAUUCUGCCAAUUUAGUGCUUAAAGGGACAUGCAUGCAUCUUAUCAUUAAACUCUGUCGCAAAUACCUGCCUUGAAUGGUAAAUAAGAUGAUGUGAUUUGAAAUUUUGCCUAUACAAUCACAGAGCCUGGCCUCUCUCUCUCCUGCAUUAUUCUAACUGUCUAUGGAACACUGGGAGACUAUAAACAUUUCAGACUUGCUUGCUGAUUCUCCCCCACCUCACAUUUUGCCUUCUGGAGCAUUGGCAAGAUGACUUAAUUAUUGUCAUUUUAAUAAUUGCAGGGGAGACAAUCACUUGCAAUUUUUUACGGACUCCAUGGCGCAUCAUCUUUGGCAGAACUGUCAAGUAAACAUUUGUUGCCUCAGGCAAUUCUCAAUUAGGAAAAGUAAGAUUUUACUAGUUUGCUAGGUAAAUCACUGAGAUCAGAUGCCAGCCUCGCAAACUGGCGCAGGGCUGGCAGUGAGGUGUGAAGAGCCAAAGUCGAAGCUCCUCCUAAAAAAUGCACCUGGGUCCAUCAUUCUUUAAUUGAACCCUUGACCCUUCUGUGAAUCCUCACCAACCCAAAAAUAUAUAUGGCAAAAUGAAAUUCAAGGAAAAAGCAGUCACUAUGCAAUCCAAAACAGAAAAGCAAAACUGAUGAAAAAGGGCUGAUAUCCAAUUGCAUCCAUUUAUAAAUGGGACAAACUUCUACGAGUGGAGAAGAAAGAGAAAAAGAGCUAUUACACAGUGGUACCACAUAUGGUUCAUGUGCAGAGGGUCUGACAUUCAAUACCUAACAUCUUCAGGUAUUGCUGGAAGAGACCCCAGUCUGAAACCUUAUAAAGCUGCUGUCCAUCAUUGUAGACAAUAUGGAACUAAAUGCAGUAGUGAAUUGGUUCAGUAUAAUCUAGCUUCCCUUCCUUCUCUUCCCUCUGCAGCUUCCCAUAGGAGCGUACCGAUGGUGUGCAGGAGAAGCAGAGGAAAGAGAAAUGAGGGGUGAGGGGAGACUUUGUGCUGGCUAUCAGGCAAUGGCUUUUCCCACCUGCCUUGCCCCACCCUUCAGCCCUAGGAGCCUUUCACAAGACCAUGACUUUAGGAACAGCAGAAGCAGGCUUUCAGUCAUUUGAUGUUGCAUAGUAUCCAUAGUUUCAUUCCGUCCCACAGCCCCUAUUCAUUAACACCUCUAUUAUGUAGGUCUAUUAUGCUUGACCUACAUUUUGUGUUUGUAACUGGAUAAGAAGUUGGAUGCGGGUGGCGCUGUGGGUUAAACCACUGAGCCUAGGACUUGCCGAUCAGAAGGUCAGUGGUUCCAAUCUCUGUGACAGGGUGAGCUCCUGUUGCUCGGUCCCUGCUCCUGCCAACCUAGCAGUUCGAAAGCACAUCAAAGUGCAAGUAGAUAAAUAGGUAGUGCUCUGGCGGGAAGGUAAACGGCGUUUCCGUGCACUGCUCUGGUUCGCCAGAAGUGGCUUAGUUAUGCUGGCCAUAUGACCCGGAAGCUGUACGCCGGCUCCCUCAGCCAAUAAAGCGAGGUGAGUGCCGCAACCCCAGAGUCGGUCACGACUGGAGCUAAUGGUCAGGGUCCCUUUACCUUUUAAGAAGUUGGCCUAACCUGCAGUGUAUCCUGGGUAAUCACCCCUUUUCCUAUUUCUUUUCCAACCCUCUCUAGCAAGUUGCUGUGUGACAGGGGCCUUAAUAAUUAAAUGACUGUGUACAUGACAAAGUGCAGUCAAAGAAGGUUAUCUUAAAGAAAGUCCUCCUGAAUGGAUUUCCUACCUUAAGGAAGUUUUGGACACCCAACAUGACCAGCUAUUCUACUCAUCCCACAUUUAGGUAUAUAUAGUUGACUGAGGAAUACUCUCUGCAUAGGUUCGGACAAAAUCUCAGGUUCUGAAAUCUGCAUUUAGUGAUGUUUCCACUGCUAAUAUAUUUCAUUAUCACCAUCACUGCAACUCAGCAUUUUCAGUCAUAAACCAAAACUGUGGGGAACAGUCCAGUUUGUGAGAGGUCAUUUCUGGGCAUAAGGUAAUUUGGGCCUAUUCUCUGAGCUGUGCCCAGUUGACUCCAGCAAAAGAUCUCACAAGGGAGUGUGUUUUAGGAGUUAGGUAGGUUGUGGACACACAUGGGGAUUCCAAUUUACACUUUUAAGACCUCAUGUUCCUAGAUUGAUACCAAGAACAUAUGUUAAACUACAAACACAUCUCUCAUUUACAUAUUUCUCUCUGUCAGUUACUCUCUAUUGUUGGAUUCAGGCUGUGAUGGGAUGAUGAGCUGCUUGUGCGUAAAAUCGUAUCCCCUCAGAGUUUGUUCAAGUCCACAAACCUCUGUCUGUGACAGAGCACCUCAGACAUGUCUACUCUAGUCACUAGCAGAUUCCGACAGUGGUUGCUUGCGUAAUCGCUUCCAACAUAAAAGCUCCUUAACGGAAACACGUCUUCUGGAAUCUCUGCGUGACAGUUUCCGGCGAGGAGUGGGUGUUCUUACAGGAGGUCCUGAAACCUCUCCACUGUUUUCGCUGGAAGUGUCUCUGAGCCAUCCCUCCAGCUCAGCUCCUCUCCCCUGCUGGUUCCCUCAUCAGCUGCUGCGUCUCUCCCAGCCUGUGUGAGCCCUCUCACCUCCCUGUUGGUUUCCUCUUCAGCUGCUGCGUCUCUCCCAACCUGUGUGAGCCCUUUCACCUCCCUUCCGUCCGAUGGCAGUUCCCUGACAUCCACCUCCCCUCCAGGGCCCCCUUCACCCCCUCUCGCCCCCUCCUCUACGGGCGGUGAGGAGGCAAAACCCGGAAUGAACUUCCUUCAUCUUCCGAUGUCUCGAACACUUCUCUCAACCUGUUGCGGUUCCUGGUCUCGAAGUACACCUCCUCCUCAGAGUCCAUCUCCCCUUCCCCUUCCGAGUCCGGGAAUCCUUCCAACUCCUCCCCUUCAUCAGUGGUCCUAAAGUAUUCCCUCCGGAACCUCUCCACAGGCUGAGGUUUCCUUGGGAACCUUUGAUGGAACGUUUCUAUCAAUACCUCGUCAUUGAUAUCUUCAGCCAUUACCCAAGUGUUUUCUGACUCCGGUUCUCCUUCCCACGCUACCAAAUACUCCACCUGAUCCCCCUUCCACCUGGCGUCGAGGAUUUCUGCCACAUGGCUACUGCAUUCUCUUUCUUCUACGACCGGUCCCCGAGGGGCCAGCCCUUCUCGUCCCCUUCGUACGGUGACAGUAACGACCUGUGAAAUACUGGGUGCAGUUUCAUGUGGUUGGGUAACCGGAGCCUGAAAGCCACUGGGUUGACCUGUUGAAUGACCUCAAAGGGACCCAACCUCCUGGGUCUUAAUUUCUUACAACCUCCUUUGAACGGCAACCCUUGGGUUGACAGCCACACCCUAUCUCCCACCCUUAUGGUUUCACCUUCCCUUCGGUUCUUGUCUGCCUGCCUCUUGUAUUCUUCCUUCGCCCUUUCUAAGUUGAGUUGGAGCUGACGAUGGAUUGCUUCCAUUUCUUCCACAAAAUGCUCGGCUGCCGGGACGCUCCAUCUCCCCCUGGGAAAGCCCUGGGAUGACACCCAUAAUUAGCCAAGAAGGGGCUCAUCCCUGUGGACACAUUCUCGGCAUUGUUGUAGGCAAAUUCCGCCAGCGCCAACUUUUCUACCCAGUCAUUCUCUCUGUCAUUGACAUAACACCUCAGGUAUUGCUGGAGGACACCGCUUGCUCUUUCCGCCUGCCCGUUGGUUUCAGGGUGCCGGGCAGUCGAAGAAUUGACCUCCACCUGCAGUAAGCUCAUGAGCUUCCUCCAGAACCUGGAAGUAAAUUGUUUUCCUCGGUCUGAGACCACCCUCAAUGGCACCCCGUGCAACCUAAAAAUGUUUUCUACAAAUAACUUCGCUGUCUCUUCCGCCGUGACUGCAUGCGAGCAAGCUACAAAGUGGCACAUCUUUGUUAGUAGGUCUACCACCACCAUGAUGGCUGUUUUCCCUUUGGACUUUGGCAGAUCAGUCAUAAAAUCUAUCGACACUGCCUCCCAAGGUCGUUCUGGGGCUGGUAAGGGUUCUAAUAGCCCCGCCGGCGCCCGCCUUUCCCCUUUGGCUCGCUGGCAUUGCUCGCACCCUCUUACAUACUCACGUACAUCUUCCCUCACCUUAGGCCACCAAAAUUCCCUGGUGACCAACCACAUGGUUUUGUGUUGUCCAAAAUGCCCCGCCGUAGGGCUGUCGUGCAACUGCUUGAGUACCCUCCCCUUUUGUCUGCAUCCUGAGCCCUCCUCUCCUCAAGCCUCGCCGUCUGCAUCGCUAGCUGGACCUCCAACAUCUGGUACCUUUCUUCCAGGCUUGGACCCGCUCCAGCUCCUGCUUCUCCGGUUCCGGCUGGGUUGCUCAUGAUACCUUCUCCUGCACAAGCUGCUUUCAAAGACUGUCGGAAUGCUGUGAUGGGAUGAUGAGCUGCUUGUGCGUAAAAUCGUAUCCCCUCAGAGUUUGUUCAAGUCCACAAACCUCUGUCUGUGACAGAGCCCCUCAGACAUGUCUACUCUAGUCACUAGCAGAUUCCGACAGUGGUUGCUUGCGUAAUCGCUUCCAACAUAAAAGCUCCUUAACGGAAACACGUCUUCUGGAAUCUCUGCGUGACAGUUUCCGGCGAGGAGUGGGUGUUCUUACAGGAGGUCCUGAAACCUCUCCACUGUUUUCGCUGGAAGUGUCUCUGAGCCAUCCCUCCAGCUCAGCUCCUCUCCCCCUGCUGGUUCCCUCAUCAGCUGCUGCGUCUCUCCCAGCCUGUGUGAGCCCUCUCACCUCCCUGUUGGUUUCCUCUUCAGCUGCUGCGUCUCUCCCAACCUGUGUGAGCCCUUUCACCUCCCUUCCGUCCGAUGGCAGUUCCCUGACACAGGCCUCACAAAUAUAACAUAGAUUUUUAUUUAGAUUCUUAAAUAAUUCAUAUAUCACUUAGUCAAAAAAACCCAACAACUCUAAUACUAAUACUCUCUAUUCUUCAUUCAUAUUAGCUGUUUAAUCAGAAUAGCUACAGAGUAAUGUUGAUGUUUCUCUUUCAGAAUUUUACUGACUUUUACUGAAGCUCAGAAGCUGAGGUGAACAUUUGCCUCAUUUGAUCAGAUUGGCCUCUUACAAUAACCUGCAACAAACAGAGCACAAAAAAGCUGAAAUAUUUUUAUUUGGUCACAUUGUCCUCAUCCAUUAACAUUUUUGACGUUUCAGUGUUGAAAACUAAGAACAAUCAUGGAAGCAUAAAUUCUUAUAUUAUUUAUAUCUUUUUUGUAUUAAAUGCUCUCUGGUGUUCAACUCAGGCCUCACUACAAUAAUGUAGCAUUUGGGGAAAAAGAUGCAAGCCAGUAAUCCAGCACUAGAAGCCAAGAUGGAGAAGAUCUCCACAGCCACCAUGUAUUUUCCUCUGGUGCUCAGGUAGGUUGGAAUGAAGGAGAGCCAAACACUGCAAAAGACCAGCAUGCUGAAAGUAAUGAACUUGGCUUCGUUGAAACUGUCUGGCAACUUCCUGGCUAGGAAAGCCACAGUGAAGCUGACAGUGGCCAGGAAGCCCAUGUAGCCCAAAACACAGAAGAACAUGAAGACUGACCCUUCAUUACAUAACAAUAUAAUUUCUUUACUCAUUGAGUGCAUGUCCAAAUCUGGAAAAGGGGGAAAAGUUGCCAGCCAAAGACCACAAAGCCCUACUUGAAGAAUGGAGCCGGAGAGGAUUAUGGAAUAAGCCAGUUUUUUGCCUACCCACUUCCUGAUUGUGGAAUCUGGCUUGGUAGCCAUGAAUGCCAAAACCACCGAUAUAGUUUUGGCCAAGAUGCUGGAGAGGGCCACAGAGAAGACAAUGCCAAAACUUGUUUGUCGGAGUGGGCAGGUUGCCUGCUUAGGUGUUCCAAUGAACAUCAAGGAGCAGAGGAAACACAAGAGGAGGGACACAAGGAGAAUGUAAGUGAGGCUUCUGUUGUUGGCUUUGACGAUGGCAGUGUCCUGGUGUUUAAUGAAGAUGCCAAACACUAGAACUGUGAUCAGAGACAACAGUAGUGCCGAGAAAGUUGAAAUGAUGGCCAAAGUUUCAUCGAAGCCAAGAAAGUUUGGUAUUUUAGGAAUGCAAUUAUCCUGGUCUUGGUUUGGAUACUUAUUUGCUGGGCAACUGAAACAUGUUUCCAUGUCUGAAAAGACAAAAUGAAAUUACGAAGAAAAUUCUUAAGAAUUUUUGUCACCAGGAGUUCAACUAGUUAAUGUUCUUUACCAGGG